UUUGUUGUACCUGAAGACGGUGCGCUAACCCGCAAGGGAGGCAGCCGGCCACGGUAGGGUCAGCGACUGGGGUGAAGUCGUAACAAGGUAGCCGUAGGUGAACCUGCAGAAGGAUCA
rnacentral:rRNA from 1 species